AAUGAUUACUAUUUCACUGAUCCAUUUACUUAGAAGUUAGAAGAGAUUAGUGACUCAGACAUGCAACAAUUUUUCCAUCUUGCUUAAAAAAACUAAUAAUAAAAUUACUGAGAAAAAAAAAAAAAAAAGAAAUUACAUCAGAUAAAUUAACAUUUUUUUCUCGACCUUUUCUCUCUGUCUCUUCACAUGGUGGUGACUGAGGAAUCGACGAUGACAAUGAUGAUCGGCGAGAGAUUUUUUUACGAGUUUACCGAUCCGUCAUUUUUCGAUUUGUUCAAGCGCCGAGACUGACGGAUCGAUUCUGUUCUCACUGCUUUGCCUGGAAAUGAAAGUAACAGAGUAUUUGGGUACUGAUCAUAAGAUGCUCCACUUUAAAAAGGAACUCAUUUACAAGAAGAUCCUGGAAAUACAAAAGCCAAAAACAGAGCAAACUGACACAAAGAUUGAGUGGGAACUUUUAUAAUAACAGCUAUUACUGCCCUGCCCUUCAUCAUCUUAACGUGCUAGUUUUAUUUACAGUCUCUCUUCUCUCAUUUUAUCUUUAUGGCACUAAAUGAAAAACAAAGCUUGAUAAACUAUAGAGAAAUGUUGUAGAGAAAAGGAAGUGUGAGGAAACAAAGGAUAGAGAAUGUAGUGAAAUUGUGAAAAGAAAGAAAGGAUGAGAUGUGUAAGGAAAAAGAAAGCGGAAGCGAAUAGGAAAGGGUCUUGAAAUGGAGAAACUAGGGGAAGAAAAAAAAUAGGAGAGAAGUAGAGAAAAAAUGAAAAGAGAAUAGGAGAGAAAGUGUGGUUUGAGGUAGAGAAAAGAAUGCCUAGAGAGAAAAUGGAGAAAUGGAGAGAGUUGGGAAAGAGAAUGAUGAGAGGAAAAACACAAAAAUAGGAGAGAAAGCAGAGGGGGUAAUUUUAUUUAUUUAUUGUCUUUUGUUUAUUUUUAUUUUGUUUUUCCUAUUACCAUGCAACUUUUUAUUUGAAUGUGCCUUGUAUUUUUAUUUUACUUUUUAUUCCUCUACUAUUUGAAUGAAUAAUUCAUCACGCUUAGAAUUUCA